rnacentral:rRNA from 2 species
AGCAUAGCGAUUUGGGAUAAGUCCCUUGGAAGAGGGCAGCAUGGAGGGUGAUACUCCCGUCUCUGCUCAGGUUGUCUGUGUGUACGAUACGCUUUCUUUGAGUCGAGUUGUUUGGGAAUACAGCUCAAAGCAGGUGGUAAAUUCCAUCUAAAGCUAAAUAUUGGUGCGAGACCGAUAGCGAACAAGUACCGUGAGGGAAAGAUGAAAAGAACUUUGAAAAGAGAGUUAAAGAGUACCUGAAACUGUUGAAAGGGAACCGUAUCGUUUCUAGUGUGUAUCCUAUGCAUAUUUCAUUGGCGGUUGUAAAAUUGCUGGUGCCCUGUGUAUGGGUGUGACGUCAGAGUCAGUUUGAAUUGCGGGAGAUGGGUAGUGAGGAGGUGCGUCACCUCUUGUGAAAGUUACAGCUCGCUAUCUAGUAGCCGUGGUUGAGACUGAGGUGCC